UACGUAGGUGACAAGCGUUGUCCGGAAUUACUGGGCGUAAAGGGCGCGUAGGCGGCGUGUCAAGUCAGGCGUGAAAGCCCCGGGCUCAACCUGGGAACCGCGCUUGAGACUGGCAUGCUCGAGUUCGGGAGAGGAUGGUGGAAUUCCCAGUGUAGAGGUGAAAUUCGUAGAUAUUGGGAAGAACACCGAUGGCGAAGGCAGCCAUCUGGACCGACACUGACGCUGAGGCGCGAAAGCGUGGGGAGCAAACAGG
rnacentral:rRNA from 1 species